AUGGAUUUAGUGAGAACAAUAAUUGAUCCUGAUAGAAGAUCGCUACGAUUGAUAUGAAUACACCCAAUGGACCAAGAAGAAAGGCGAAGGCGACGGAAUGAAGAAGAAUACAAGUAAUCUGUGUAUAAAUUAUGAUAAUUUAAUUAUUUAAUUAAAGAACCGAAACAAAGAAAAGAAGGAACUACUGCAAACAACCUACACGAAACUACUAUUACUACCACUAGUACUGUUACGCGUAACUACUAGUAUUACUACUACCAAAACCUACUAUCUACGGAACCAGACGAGCUCUAGAGGACUAAAUAACGAAUCGCCAAGACCGGAAAGGAAAAAAAACUCAGACAACACACACACACACACACACAACUCACGCAGAGCAGCAGCAGCAGCAGCAGGAAGUGUAUAAUAAACCGCGAAUGGGAAGGCUGAAGUAGGGUGAAGUGGGUGGGUGGGUAAAGGAGGGGAGGACACGCGUAACAAGCGCGUAAAAGGCAGUGAAAGAAGAGAACACGGUGAUGAUGAUGAUGAGAAGGAUGGAGAAGAUGCGCGUGGGAGAGGAAGAGGAGGUGGAAUCAAAGAAGAAAAUAAUAAUCGCAAAAAAGGUUAAAACAAAAGCAUGUCGAUGGCGUUUCUUUUAUUUCUGCGAACCUACGUUCACCACGGAAUCGGACUCAUCGAAGCGGGGCGCCACAAGAGCUCCGGCACCGGCGGAAAAAAAUGAUGACAUGGGAAUGAAGAUGUUUGAUAGAAAACAUGGGGGUGAUGGGGAUGAUGGUGGUGGUCUUCUUCGCUUCUGCUUCUGCUUUUUCCCUUCGCUUCGUUUCUACUUCGUUGCUGCUUAGUUUUCGAUGUGCGUCUGCGGCGGAAAACACUUUAAACUGGGUCAAGUGGGGAGCGUUGUAGUGGCGUCGGUGGUUCGGUCCGUGCGGGUGUGGUGCGUUGGCAUGAGAUAUGGUAAGCAGCUGCUAAUGGAAUCGGAUCGGAAUGUAGAGAAUGUGCCACGGGGCUGGCUAUGACGUGGUGGUGAGGGUGGCCAACCUGUGAGCAUAAAUCAAACGGAAUGAGCAUUAUAAAUGGGCAUUCGGAGUCAUAUGGGUUUGCGUGGUGCGGUGCCAAAUGCCGUAGUGAAGGUAUAAGUAUUGCAGAGCAGCAGCAGCAGCAUGUGCACAACACUAUUCAUGUUGUGAAAUUAUGUAACGUUCUGCGAAAUGGUUAUGAAUCGUUUCAGCAAUUCUCCAUUUUGUGCUUUCAUCGAAAAUUGUACUGUCCUGUUUUCUCUUAAACGCAAGUACUUUAAUAGUUAAUUUUAUCGCGAAGCGAGAUUCCGAUAGAGAAUGCGACAGGAUUGAAGAGAAGACAAGAGAGAAGGGGUCCAGUCGCCGGGUGUAGGGGGCGACGCAGGUCGUUUGUCCGUUCGUCGACCUUUUGCAGCACCGUGUAGCGAUGAUGAUGGCAAUGGCGGAAUCGAUCCUGACAGUUGCGCACUUGCCGAGAGUUGCGAGAGUCUAUCGAAGCAACCGGAGCGCUCUCUCGGGCCCACAAACACACACACACACACACAGUACGGCAAAAGGAUAGCUCGCUCUCCCCCUCUCAAGGAUCAAUGCUCUCGCUAGCUAUCUCGCUCUUGCCAUACAGCUGGACCUCACUCUGUCUUUUUCGAACAAUCUGAUGCGCGCGCCUGUGUGUGUGUGUGAGAUGCUUCCUUCCAUUUCAAUGGAUUCGCUCGAUGUCCUUUUUGAGAGCGAGAGCGCGCCCCGAGAAAGGUACUGCACCGGCUACCACCGGUUACACCAACACUAGCGCAGUGACCAAGGGCAAACAGCUGGUUUCCAGGUAACAUGCGCACGCCGUCUUCCAGGCAAACGUCGUCGUCGUCGUCGUCGUCAUCGGGCGUGGUACCACCCCUUCUUGCAGCAGCAGCCUCCUUUGCAUUCGUCCAGGCUUACCACUGCCGAUGUCGGUCCGGUCGGUCCAGGCUUCAGCGAAAUUCCCCGUGAUAAUUCCACUCUGCCGCUGGCCUUCUUCUGGUACGAGAAGAAAAACAUGGCAGAUAAAUUAAGAGAUAUACUCGCCGGAUGGCUGUGACGUUGUUCACUCACUACGUCUCUUUCUCUCUUUUGCUCGACGUCUUCGAUACGACUCUUUCUAUCCUUCGCCUUCAAAGCCGAACAAAUCCUUCUGACAAGGCCUCUGACAGGACAACGGAGGAUGACAGACAGAAACGCGAUUAACAACAAACGACCGGAUUGAAACGGAUUUGAUGGCCGAAGGUGCACCGCUGUGCCUUAACCUUACUGCAGGCACCCAGAGGUACCUUGUUAAAUCGUUAACGAAGCAUUCUUCCAUUACUUCUAUUCAAGGUUCUCCGUUGGAGCGUUCUCGCUGGGAUAGCUGACAACGGAACGGAAAAUCAUCUCGGCUCGAUUGUCUAGAAGAACAAUAGAAAGGAGAGGGGAUAAUGA